GCCUUCGUAGUGUAGUGGUUGGUCAGCACGCUCGACCGGUAACCCAGAGGUCCGUGGUUCGAGUCCCGGCGACGGCG
rnacentral:tRNA from 1 species